ensembl:lncRNA
CAAGAACAUUGCCUUCAUCCAGGCCAAGGUGACGAGACAUGGUAGUGAUGACACCAUAGGCCUUGUUGAUCGCUGCACCAGACAGGAUGCUCUUGCCCGCAUACUUGGGGUCCAACAUGUACGCUGCGGCGUGUUUGGGCUUCAGGCAGAAGUCUUCACGCUUUUUGAUGUAUUUCAGAACUGCAGUUUCCUCUGCUUGGAGCAACAGCGAAGUGGGCAGGGCAGUACGGAUUUAUUCUCUUACAUCUGCAAGCAGAGUUUGAACAUCAGACUGCACAGAUUGAGGGAGACAAUGCCAUCCUAUGGUUACCGCUAUAGGUUUCAGGGGUUUUCGGCGGCUUACCACUCUCUCCCAAAAUACAUCAUUCAGGAGGGUCCUCUUGAUGGGGCUGUCCAUAUCGGCAGACUGUGAUAUGGCCAUUUCUUGGAGAGACUCCUUCCCCUCCAGGAGACCGUCAAACAUGAUGACAAAACCACCCCAACGGGUGUUGCUGGGCAGCUUCAAUGUGGUGCUCUUAUUCUUCUCACGUUGCUUGGUGAGGUAGAUUGCUGCUAUAACUUGAUGACCCUUCAGAUACCUAACCAUUUCCUUGGCUCUCUUGUAGAGUGUAUCCAUUGUUUUCAGUGCCAUGAUGUCCUUGAGGAGCAGAUUCAAUGCAUGAGCAGCACAGCCAAUGGGUGUGAUGUGAGGGUAGGACUCUUCCACUUUAGACCAAGCCGCCUUCAUGUUCGCAGCAUUGUCACCAGUGCCUUCUGUGGUCCAAGGUCAUUGAUGACUGCCUUCAGCUCAUCUGCAAUGUAGAGACCGGCCCAAAUCCCCGUUAUUUGGUGAAGAAAAGACAGAGGAAAAGAGGACGUGGAUUGGGCUGCCUUUUGAGAAUCCAUAGGCCAGCGAGUGAACUCCCACUGCCAUCCAUUCUACUUGCUAACACGCAUAUUGUAAAAUAAAAUCGAUGACCUACGAUUACAAUUAUCCUACCAACCGGACAUUAAGAACUGUAAUACAUUAUGUUUCACCAAGUCGUGGCUGAACGACGACACGGAUAAUAUAGAGGGAUUUUCAAUGCGCCGGCAGAACAGAGAAGCUACUAAGACGAGGGGUGGGGUUGUGUCUUUUUGUCAAUAACAGCUGGUGUGCGAUGUCUAAUAUUAAAGAGGUCUUGAGGUAUUGCUCGCCUGCAGUAGAGUACCUUAUGAUAAGCUGUAGACCACACUAUCUAUAUUAUUCGUAGCCGUCUAUUUACCACCACAGACCAAUGCUGGCACUAAGACCGCACUCAACCAACUCUAUAAGGCCAUAAGCAAACAAGAAAAUGCUCACCCUGGAGUGGCGUUCCUUGUGGCCGGGGGCUUUAAUGCAGGCAAACUUAAAUCAGUUUGACCAAAUUUUUACCAGCAUGUCACAUGUGCAACCAGAGGAAAAAAAACACUAGACCACCUUUACUCCACACACAGAGAUGCAUACAAAGCUCUCCCCCGCCCUCCAUUUGGCAAAUCUGACUAUAAUUCAAUCCUCCUGAUUCCUGCUUACAAGCAAAAACUAAAGCAGGAAGUACCAGUCACUCGCUCAAUAUGGAAG